UUAGUACCUGCAGGAAAAGAAAAUAAAUAAUGAUUCCCCUAGUAGUGGCGAGCGAACGGGGAUUAGCCCAAACCACCCAUGUUACGGCAUGGGUGGGGUUGUAGGACCACGCUCUCGCAAGACAGUUAUUGAGAAGAAACGGCUGGAAAGUCGUGCCAUAGACGGUGAUAGCCCGGUAUUCUAAGGUAACCGAAGCGUAGUGGUAUCCUGAGUAGCGCGGAGCACGAGGAAUU
rnacentral:rRNA from 1 species